rfam:Ictidomys tridecemlineatus contig093565, whole genome shotgun sequence.
GGGGUUGUGGCUCAGAGGUAGAGUGCUUGCUUAGUAUGCGUGAGGCACUGGGUUCGAUCCUCAGCACCA